UUUCUUGCAGAAGGGUCUUGCAAAGUUGCUUAGGGCUUCACUAUGUUGCUGAGUGAAUGGUGGCACCUAAGUGUAUCAUUAGUGUGCUGAAACUUAUCUCUUAGGGGGAGGAGCCUUCGACCAUGAGGGUAGAAUCCACACCCCAGGAUAUGGAUGUGGCUAUAUAAAGGAGUCCCAAAGUGAUUCUCUCUUUUGUGAGGAGCCUGCAGGAAGGUGUCUUAAGCAAUUUGGAAGCAGUCUUCAAUCUCCAACUUCUACCCCUGCAAAACGACAGUGUCUCCCUCAGUUGCUGAGGCUGGCUUCAAACUUUGGUUCCUCCUUCCUCCGUUUGCAGAGUUACUAGAAAGUACAGGAGCAGUUUUUGGAGAUGCCGGCUUGACCACCUCAGUGGACAGUCAGGAUAACAGGUACCAAGGACUCGAACCCAGUGAUGCUUAACUACCGAGUCACCUAGCCAACACUUUUUAAUAUUUUACUUAGAGAUGGGAGUCUUAUUAAAUUGCUUAGGACCUCUAUAAGUUGCUGAGGCUGGCAUUGAACUCAU